GGCCGGGAGUCCCUAGGAGAUUAGAGCCUGUCAUUCCCCCUGUGAUCCCACCCUGCAAAGCUUCUAGUGCCUCCGAAGCCCUCAGCAGAUGGAGGAAGAGCGAGCACCCCACAGGCUGACAGUAUCAAACUGGGAUUCCAUGGGGGGUGCUCGCAGCUUUGGGUCUGCCCUGUGAGCCCAGUCCUGGCCCAGCCUCUCCGCACCCUGUGUGAGUCCUUCAAACUGAACCGAGAAUGAGGAAUGAGGCCCUGUCCCCUCUGUUCCUUUCUGGGAGACCUCGGCCUGUGUGUUCCAGUCCACAUGUGCCAGGUGGGGGCAGGGUCCCAGGCAGCCUGGGGCUCACUGGACCUCAGAGCCCGGGUAGCUGUCACCGCCACCCAGAAACGUCAUUGUCAUAAAUGCUAUUGGGUUCCUCCCACAAGUCCUGCGUGGGCACGGCAGGGCAAGCCUCCGACUUAGCCUGUGAAGGCAGGAGAGUGCCAGCCGGUCCGUUCCUCACGCUUUGCCCUCUUGUGGGCAAAGAUCCCAGUGAUGGUUGUUCACUCAGCCCGGCCUGAGAAGCCCUGUAGGCCGAGCGCGUGAACCUGCUGAAUGUCUGCUCUGCAGCCAUCGGUGCCCGAGACCGGACCACUGUGCAUCCUUGUCUCCCACUCCGGACCCCAGCUUCCCGUUCUCGCCCUCCUCUCUGUCCUUGCUCAAGACUCCAGACUUCUCAAACUCAGAACGCGUCAUCUGGCUGCCAGGGAGGCCCCCCUGCCCACCGUCAGCCUCCCCUGGGCCUCCAUGGAUUUGUGCACCCCGCGACCCUACAACAACCCUCUGAGCCCCGGAUCCUGUCAGCAGCCUGCGGUGGCGCCCCUGCUGGACGGCUGUGUGACCGCAGCACCGGGGGCUCGUGCUCCCUCUCACCCCACUCCGAGGCUUCAGGCUCCGUUGGAGAGGAGGGAGCAAGGUCUUCCACGCAAAUCCGUCAGGCUCCACAAAGCGGGGGCCGGUCACCUUCCAGCUUAGACGGGGCAGCGCACAGCAGGGCACUUGAUGGCCACGCAAACUGAUGCCUUCCUUCUGAGCCUGCCAGGGAGUUCGGUGUUGGAUCCCCGGCCGAUGAGGCUGUGUCCUGCAGGCUGACCCACAUUCGGGCUCCCAGGCCUUUGUCUCUGGGAUCGUCUGCCUCUCAGGGGAGGGGAGGCAGGGUCUGGGAGCCCCUUGCUUUGUGGAGCUCUCUCUCCUGGGGUGAGUCAUGGCCACUGUCGUCUCCUCCAUUCAUUUGGAAGCUGCUUAUUUCAAGUGCAUCUCCUGCCAGCUCUUUAUGUCUCAAAUGCUCUCUGUGCCGUGAUUUCCUAUAGUUAUAUAAUCACUUCUCUGUUGUCAUGAAUGACUUUUUCCUGUUCUUUUUUCCUCUGAGCCUCACACGACUCUGAGGUGCUUGAGGGUAGUUCAGCCGCCGGCCCGGCCCCCGCACCGCCAGCCCCCGGAACUGGAGGCUCCCCGCCGGCCUCUGGGCCCCUCCUCCCCACUCUCCUCAGGUGGUUCCACGUCUCUUUCUCGGAGUCUGGACUCCUUGGCUGGGUCUUGUCGGGCCCCGCACACCUGCCCCGGUGUCCCUGUGGAGGGCAGCGUGGAGGCCUCAGGAGGAUUCAUUUUGUGACCGGGAUCGUGUCCCCAGAGGCUGCCGCCCAUACCCUGUGGCCUGCUUCCCUCACACAGGCUCGGAGUGGGGCCUGGGGGCUCUGCUUCCUUGUCCCCAUCCUCUCAGAGACCCUCUCUCAUGGCCCUUGGUCCCAAAGGCAGCAGCAAGGCCUACACAGGGCCUCCUUGGCCUAGAUGGCUCCCCUGCUCCCUGCCGGCUGUGGGAGAGGCCAGCAUCAGGUUUUCCCCUCAUGUGGCACUGGCUGGUGCUCAGUGGACCCUCAGGGCCAGAGGGCUCUCUGCGGCCACACCCCCGUCCCCGCUGCUCUGGGCAACCCACCCUCAUAGACAAGCCAUUGCUGCUCCCACCCGUCCCAAGGCCCUGGGCCCGGAGGAGGAGUCUAUCUAGUGUGAACUUUUGAGGCAGGGGUCUGGGCAGUGCUGUCAGGGAAGGCAGGGCACAUGAGGACACAGACGAGGGUCGGUGACCUCCCUGAGCCCCCCCCCCCCACUUAUUCAGGCCAGCCCAGCCAGAAGUGGGUACUCCUCCCAGGAGCCCCCGUGCUCCCAGCUCAGCCUCAGAGAGCCUAUCAGGGAAGGCAUCCGGGCAGGACACUCCAGCUGUCAGGCGCUAAGGCUUCGUGGGUCCCACCUGGCGGUCCUGCUGCCCCCUCUCUCUUUAACAGCUGCAGGGCCAGAAGCUGGUGCAUCUUUGUCUAAAGGCUUAAUCAUCCUCUUCAGAGCUUUGGGCCAGCCUUUGUGAGCCAAGGGCUGAGCUGUGAAGAUGGACACAGUGUCGCUAUGUCCAUCCCCCAGGUAGAAGACUUUCUGGGAAGCCGGUGGAGGCGCCGGGCAGCGGCAGAGAGGGGAAGAGAGGGGGCUAACCUGCUCUUCACGUGAACAUGAAGUAUUGGUGGCAGUGUGGGCAAGGAUGUUCAGAAACGAUGAUGUACUUGGGAAACUAUUCUUCUUCAAGGAGUUGGAUGAACUUUUUGAGAACAUUUGUUCUUGGGAAGCAGAAUGUGUAUGUGUGUGAUAAAGAUAAACAUGUGGACAAUCAGGAGAACAUUGGAGAUCUGGGAGCCCCGGAAGGAGACUGAGUCAUAGUGUCCAUCACCACCCUGGACUAUUCCAAGGGGCUGAACGGCCAAACGUCCCAGGGGAUUGUCCCACCCCCUCCUUGGGAUGAGUCUGGAAUGGAACACCCAGUGCUGAAAGGAAGGGGGGUACAUGGGAUGAUACACAUGUAGAUGGUGGGGAUUCUAGAAAGUCAGGGAGAUUUGACAAGGCAGGGGUCAGAAGUGCUCUGGCCAUGGGGGUAGAUCCAGACUUGGAAGCUGGGGAGCAGGGUUAGUAACUGAGGCUACCCAGGAGGGAACACUUCUGAGGGUGCAAUUUUCUGGGUGCUUUUCCUCCCAUGGACCAUGGAAUAGCUCUAUAUAGUGAGUGUUGUCAAAUUCCUCCCCCUUAAUUUCUCAGGAAAGUCUCAGACAGACAGCCUAUCUGCCUGGCAGGGUAUGGGCAAGAGCGAGGUUGGCACCGCUGAGAGGAAGUGAGCCCUGGUGGCUCACCUGACCUCUGUCUGGGUGGCCAAAGCUCAUGCAGUGCAGGAUGCAACUAGCAGCAGGGACAGUGAUGUUCUCAGGUGCAGGGGAUUGCAGACGAUGACAUGGACGUUGCUUACUAGGAGGUACCUAGUUCUCCAUGAAUUCCCCAGCACCAGGCAGUACUCGGCACUGCUAGCCUUAAAAAUAAAACUGUCUGUUAUUUUAGUGGCAAAAAUGGGUUUAUUCUGGAAUAACAGAGAAUUCAAGGACAAGCAAGCUCCAGCAAUACCAUAGGCAAGUCCCUAGAACAAAGGAGAGAGAUUCUUUUCUAUAGAGGAAAGAGGGAAUUGGGGGGCUGUUAUUUAUUAUUUUUUAAGAUUUUAUUUAUUUAUUCAUGAGAGACACAGAGGCACAGACAGAGGGAAAAGGUUCCUCGCAGGGAGCCUGAUGCGGGACCUGAUCCCAGGACUCUGGGAUGGGGCCCUGAGCUGAAGGUAGACGCUCAACCGCUGAGCCACCCAGGCAUCCCUGGGAGCUGUUAUAAACAAAACGUCCAUUGAAGGAAAUUGGGAGCUGGAAGUGCUUCUCACGGGCUGAGCUGUGACUGUCUUUGGUUGGCUGGGCUGUCUCCUGGCGGGGAGGAAACCUUUCUUCUUGCACUGGGUGGAUAAAAUAAUAUCCGCGUGCAAGGUCCCUCUGUUCCUGUUGGAUCUGCAGUUGAUAACCAGUGCUGGGAAUGCGAGCUCCUCCUGCUGGCCUCCUGACUCUAUUGUAGGCGAUGUUUCCUUUUAUUAGUUUUCACAGCACACAGCAGGGAUUCACUGAACGUGCCUGGACACUUCUUUAUGAGCUAUCUUCACCGAACACAGUGAAUAUCCAAAUCGUACAUGAAAACAGUUCAAAUUCACACAUCACUAGAGAAAUGCAAAUUAAAACCAUAAUAAGAUAU